UACAGAGGUCUCAAGCGUUGUUCGGAUUUACUGGGCGUAAAGGGCGCGUAGGCGGCCACCGCAAGUCGACUGUGAAAUCUCCGGGCUUAACUCGGAAAGGUCAGCCGAUACUGCGGGGCUAGAGUGCAGAAGGGGCAACUGGAAUUCUCGGUGUAGCGGUGAAAUGCGUAGAUAUCGGGAGGAACACCAGUGGCGAAGGCGACUACCUGGCCCCAUUCUUGACGCUGAGGCGCGAAAGCUAGGGGAGCGAACGGG
rnacentral:rRNA from 1 species